GUACAUUUUGCAUAUCCCUGAAAAUGCAGCUGAAAAAAAAUCACAAAAUGAAGACAACAUAUUUAUACGCAACCGCUCAAAAACGGCGAAAAACUAAAUGUAUUGUUACAGGUGUGAGUCGGUAUAAGAAGUAGUUACCAUAAUUGAUUAAUCGAUAUCAAACAAUUCUAAAAUUUCCUUAAAAAUGAAAUGAUAUGUAAACGUUAUUUCACUGAUCAAUAAACAAACAAACGAAGUGAAUGCUUUUUGGAAACCGUAUAUCGAUAAAGUAUAUUAUACAGAUUACUCCGCCUAUAUUUAGCAUGAUCAUUUCACUUUUCGAUCGUCGCCAUUUUGUAAGCGCCCUGCCUACAAGUGUCUCAUGGACUUCAGCUGGACUAAAUGUGUAUUACCCGGGAGGAACUGUAAAGAGCCAGCCAGACAGCCCGCCCGCCGAGCUGCCCACCCGCCCGAGCUGUACUUUGUGUAUGCCAACAUGCCGCCAUGCUGUAAUUUGUUAGUACUUCAAGAUCAUAUAAUGGAAAAUUGUAUCCAAACUGAAGUAUAAAGUGGAUCAUGAUGUGCCAAUAAGCUCCAGUUAGCUGCGCCUUUUUCCUCUCACCGGUAGUCCUGCAAUCUGAAUCCAGGAGAUGCAGCUCUGAAUCCAAUAUUUCAGAAGAAUGAAUAUAAAACUGAAGCCUUCAGGAAGUCAAUGCCACCAUGGUAUUGAUUUACUCAGCUCUGAUGUACUCAGCUGUGAUGUAACAUGCCUUCAAGCCACUAUCCGAAGACCAUUCAGACGUUCUAAAUGGACCAUUGCCCUGUUGCCAUGGAAAUCAUUAUGAGGACGAGCACACAAACUGUCACUUAUUUUGAAUAUGAGAUGUACCACGAACUGACCAUAAACUUUUCGGAUGCUCUGUUUAUUUCAUGAGCCAAUUUCGAUGUAAAUUUUACUGAAUAAUGACAAACAGUCUUACUCAUAAGCAUCUCUUACUCAUUCGUAUUCCACAACUAAACAUGCUUGCAAUUACACUGUGCCAUCUAUCAUAAUAUAGCAAUGCUGCAGUGACCACAUUUUUAUGUACCAGUUGUUGCUUUAUACUGAAACUGACAUAUUUUAUGUCCAACACAGACAUUUACUGAAUGUAUUACUACUUUACGUUGAUUUUGAUAUGUAAAAAAAACAUUGUACUUCUCUUUGUACAAAAAACUUUUCAUUUGCUAUGUUGUUUGUUUCCAUGUUCUGUCUGUAUACAGAUGAUAUGUUCAUAUCAAUUUUUAGCUCGACUAUUCGUAGAAUAUGGAGAGCUAUACUACACACCCAAGUGUCGGCGUUGGCGUCACACCUUGGUUAAGGUUUUGUGUGCAAGCACACAUAGGUUAAUAUCUCAGUUACUCCUUGAGGUAUCGCAUUGAGACUUGAUACAAUGGUACUCAAACAUCCAACCUACUUAAUUAACCAUGCUAGAUAACUCUACUUUGCAUUUAAUGCAAAUUAUAGGCUUUUAUUAUUUGACUUAGAAAUUCUGGUUAAGGUUUUGCAGGCAAGCACACAUAGGUAAAUAUCUCAUUAAGUACUUGAGGUAUUGCAUUGAGACUUGAUACAAUGGUACUCAACCAUCCAACCUACUUAAUUAACAAAGUUAGAUAACUGUAGUUUGCAUUUAAUUCAAAUAAUAUGACAUUAUUAUUCGACUUAGAUAUUCUGGUUAAGGUUUUGCGUGCAAGCACACAUAGGUUAAUAUCUCAGCAGCUACUCGAUGUAUUGCAUUGAGACUUUAUAGAAUGGUAUUCAACCACUCAAUGUCAUUGAAUAACCAAGAUAUAUAUAUUUGCAAAUAAUUGCCCUUUAUUAUUAGACUUCAACAUUCUGGUUGAAAAUUUCCAUGUAACCACAUUUAUGUUAAUAUCUCACCACAUGAAUUGCAUUGAAAUCUUAUCCAACAGCGAACCAUGCAUGUUUCGCCAAAACUGUUCAAUCCUUACACUGACCAGACAGUGGCGAAAUAGUCGAGCCCGCUGUCUCUGUGACAGCUCUUGUUCAAAAUUAACGUGAUGUUCAUUUCCAUUGUGAAACUUAUCCCUUGGGAACAAUAUUAACAUCUUUUAGCAUACAUGCCUGGAUGAGUUUUAAAAAAUGACCAUAUUAUGCAUAGUUACUGCAUGAAAAUAUACAAUGACAUACAUUUCAUAUCAACUUGUGUAUCUGUAUUUCCCUUUCAACUACUUCGAAAUAACAAACGUCCCAACCCUAAAAUGUUCAAACAUAUUCUACAUACAUUAUUUUUAUCUUACACUAUAUAUAUAUGUUCUAUAUGUAUAUAUCACGCCUAAUAAAAUUGAAGCCUGUCAACUCGUAUGUUGUUGUGAAAC